rnacentral:rRNA from 1 species
CCUACGGGAGGCAGCAGUGAGGAAUAUUUGUCAAUGGACGAGAGUCUGAACCAGCCAAGUAGCGUGAAGGAUGACUGCCCUAUGGGUUGUAAACUUCUUUUAUAUGGGAAUAAAAUGUUCCACGUGUGGGAUUUUGUAUGUACCAUAUGAAUAAGGAUCGGCUAACUCCGUGCCAGCAGCCGCGGUAAUACGGAGGAUCCGAGCGUUAUCCGGAUUUAUUGGGUUUAAAGGGAGCGUAGGUGGAUUGUUAAGUCAGUUGUGAAAGUUUGCGGCUCAACCGUAAAAUUGCAGUUGAAACUGGCAGUCUAGAGUACAGUAGAGGUGGGCGGAAUUCGGGGUGUAGCGGUGAAAUGCUUAGAUAUCAAGAAGAACUCCGAUGGCGAAGGCAGCUCACUGGACUGCAACUGACACUGAGGCUCGAAAGUGUGGGUAUCAAACAGGAUUAGAUACCCCUGUAGUC